rnacentral:rRNA from 1 species
GGCCCAGACUCCUACGGGAGGCAGCAGUGAGGGGUAUUGGGCAAUGGGGGAAACCCUGACCCAGCGACGCCGCGUGAGGGAAGACGGUCUUCGGAUUGUAAACCUCUGUCUUUGGGGACGAAAAAGGACGGUACCCAAGGAGGAAGCUCCGGCUAACUACGUGCCAGCAGCCGCGGUAAUACGUAGGGAGCGAGCGUUGUCCGGAAUUACUGAGUGUAAAGGGAGCGUAGGCGGGAUUGCAAGUUGGAUGUGAAAACUGCGGGCUCAACCCGGAGCGUGCAUUCAAAACUGCGAUUCUUGAGUGAGGUAGAGGCAAGCGGAAUUCCUAGUGUAGCGGUGAAAUGCGUAGAUAUUAGGAGGGACACCAGUGGCGAAGGCGGCCUGCUGGACGACAACUGACGGUGAGGCGCGAAAGCGUGGGGAGCAAACAGGAUUAGAUACCCCGGUACUC